rnacentral:rRNA from 1 species
AGAGUUUGAUCCUGGCUCAGAACGAACGCUGGCGGCGUGCUUUAGACAUGCAAGUCGUGCGAGAAAGUCACCUUCGGGUGGCGAGUAAAGCGGCGCACGGGUGAGUAACGCGUGGGUAAUCUACCCUAGGGUCUGGAAUAACAUCGGGAAACUGGUGCUAAUGCCGGAUAAGACCACGAUGACUUUGGUCGAUGCGGAAAAAGGUGGCCUCUUCUUGAAAGCUACCGCCCUUGGAUGAGCCCGCGUUCCAUUAGCUUGUUGGUGGGGUAACAGCCUACCAAGGCGACGAUGGAUAGCUGGUCUGAGAGGAUGAUCAGCCACACUGGAACUGAGACACGGUCCAGACUCCUACGGGAGGCAGCAGUCGGGAAUUUUGGGCAAUGGGCGAAAGCCUGACCCAGCAACGCCGCGUGAGGGAUGAAGGCCUUCGGGUCGUAAACCUCUGUCGGAAGGGAAGAAAGGUCGGAAGGCGAAUAGGCUUCAGGCUUGACGGUACCUUCAAAGGAAGCACCGGCUAACUCCGUGCCAGCAGCCGCGGUAAUACGGAGGGUGCAAGCGUUGUUCGGAAUUACUGGGCGUAAAGCGAGUGUAGGCGGCUUCGUUAGUCGGAUGUGAAAUCCCAGGGCCCAACCCUGGAACUGCAUCCGAUACUGCGAAGCUAGAGUCCUGGAGAGGAUGGCGGAAUUCCGGGUGUAGAGG